AGGGAUCUCUGACUGGAGAUCCCUGCCUACCUGAGGCCUUCUGAAGGUGAAGGCAGGGAUUCAGAUAGCUUGGAAAAAUGUCUCCUGGGAGCUGGGUGCUUGCUGACUUUCUGCUGCCCUUUUAGACAAACAUCCCCAUGGUCUGACGUUCCUGAGUGCUUCGUAUUGCUGAGAAUGUACCAUGACUGGCACCUUCCUUUGUCUUCCCAGCUGCCUUUGUCAAUUAAGGGAGAUCUGCAAUAUUAAGCUUGUAUUAAAUGCCAGCCACAUCCCUAUUACUAUUUAAAAGGGGCUGUCAG